AUCCAGCUGACCAGUCCCAAAUAGAAGGAAAUGCACGUCCUGAAU
rnacentral:hammerhead_ribozyme from 1 species